rnacentral:lncRNA from 1 species
ACUGCUUCAAUUAGUUAUGGUGUAUAAUUUGAAAUAUGUUUUGAACUGAGCUGAUGUGGCCACAGCUUCAUGUCUACGUUCUGAGGCUGUUUCGCCCUUAUCCCGCAGGACAUUUUAACUGUGGAGCUUCUUCUAAGUUGCAUGCUGACAUGUUAUAUUGUGAUUUGCAGAAGUUAGAAAAAGAGAAACGUGAAGACUGAAAAUGAUCAGCAAGCUAAUCUAGAUGUCAGACAAUGCCAACGAAAAACCUACAAGAUAAACACCCACGUUGUGAGUGGAGUGGUCAUUAGACUGGUUAUAUUUCCUGGGAAUGUUUUCAUAGACCUUUCAAGAUUUCCAGAAUGUUUUUGAUGUGAUGUAAGAUGCAAAUAUCUCCUCUCGCUAUAAAAUCCCUAAAUUCUAGCGGCAGAAGCAGAGGUGCGGCGACAUCAAUCAACCAACAAGCAAGCACUACAUCAAGCAACCAACGGUCUCCACGUCCGCCAUCAACAUGCAUU